UAUACGGCGAGUGAAGCGGCAACAGCUCAAAUUUGAAAUCUGGCCUUCGGGUCCGAGUUGUAAUUUGUAGAGGAUGCUUUUGGUGCGGUGCCUUCCGAGUUCCCUGGAACGGGACGCCAUAGAGGGUGAGAGCCCCGUCUGGUUGGACACCAAUCCUCUGUAAAGCUCCUUCGACGAGUCGAGUAGUUUGGGAAUGCUGCUCUAAAUGGGAGGUAUAUGUCUUCUAAAGCUAAAUACCGGCCAGAGACCGAUAGCGCACAAGUAGAGUGAUCGAAAGAUGAAAAGCACUUUGAAAAGAGGGUUAAAUAGUACGUGAAAUUGUUGAAAGGGAAGCGCUUAUGACCAGACUUGAGCCCGGUUAAUCAUCCAGCCUUCUGGCUGGUGCACUUGGCCGGCUCAGGCCAGCAUCAGUUCGGCGCGGGGGAUAAAGGCUUCGGGAAUGUGGCUCCUCCGGGAGUGUUAUAGCCCGUUGUGUAAUACCCUGUACUGGACUGAGUUCGCGCAUCUGCAAGGAUGCUGGCGUAAUGGAUCAGCGACCCGUCUUGAAACACGGACCAAGGAGUCGUCUUCGUAUGCGAGUGUUCGGGUGUCAAACCCCUACGCGUAAUGAAAGUGAACGCAGGUGAGAGCUUCGGCGCAUCAUCGACCGAUCCUGAUGUUCUCGGAUGGAUUUGAGUAAGAGCAUACGGAGCCGGACCCGAAAGAAGGUGAACUAUGCCUGUAUAGGGUGAAGCCAGAGGAAACUCUGGUGGAGGCUCGCAGCGGUUCUGACGUGCAAAUCGAUCGUCAAAUAUGGGCAUGGGGGCGAAAGACUAAUCGACC
rnacentral:rRNA from 1 species